rnacentral:rRNA from 1 species
UGGGGAAUAUUGGACAAUGGGGGGAACCCUGAUCCAGCAAUGCCGCGUGUGUGAAGAAGGCCUGCGGGUUGUAAAGCACUUUCAGUGGGGAGGAGUCUUGUUUGGUUAAGAGCUGAAUUGAGAGGACGUUACCCACAGAAGCAGCACCGGCUAACUCCGUGCCAGCAGCCGCGGUAAUACGGAGGGUGCAAGCGUUAAUCGGAAUUACUGGGCGUAAAGGGUGCGUAGGUUGCGUAAUAAGUUAACUGUGAAAUACCUGGGCUUAACCUGGGGAUGUCAGUUGAUACUGUUAUGCUUGAGUAUAGGAGAGGGUAGUGGAAUUUCCGGUGUAGCGGUGAAAUGCGUAGAGAUCGGAAGGAACACCAGUGGCGAAGGCGGCUACCUGGCCUAAUACUGACACUGAGGCACGAAAGCGUGGGGAGCAAACAGG